rnacentral:rRNA from 1 species
ACCUGCGGAAGGAUCAUUAUUGAAUGAACUUGGUAGAUUGUAGCUGGCCAUUUCCGUGGCAUGUGCACGUCUAUCAUUUUUAAUCUUUCCACCUGUGCACGUUUUGUAGAUCAUUGAAUUACCUAUCCAAGGUGACUUGGGGAUGGGGAUUGCUGUGUAGAAAUACUUGGCUUUCCUUGGAUUUUCAAGAUCUAUGUUUUUUCAUAUACACCAUAAAAAUGUUAUAGAAAGUUAUUAUAUUGGCACCAGUGGCCUAUAAAAAGUAUAUACAACUUUCAGCAACGGAUCUCUUGGUUCUCGCAUCGAUGAAGAACGCAGCGAAAUGCGAUAAGUAAUGUGAAUUGCAGAAUUCAGUGAAUCAUCGAAUCUUUGAACGCACCUUGCGCUCCUUGGUAUUCCGAGGAGCAUGCCUGUUUGAGUGUCAUUAAAUUAUCAUGCUUUUAUCAGCUUUAUUGUUGGGAAAGGCGUGGAUGUGGGGGAAAAUUUUUUUGCAGGUUUUUUAAUGUAGAUCUGCUCCCCUUAAAUGUAUUAGCUGGUUGCUUGUUCAGACUUGUCUAUUAGUGUGAUAAUUAUCUACGCUGUGGACUGUCUGUGCUUUAAUGUAGCACCUGCUUAUAAACAGUCCUUGGGACAAUCUAUAUGACAAUUGACC